GACGAACGCUGGUGGCGUGCUUAACACAUGCAAGUCGAACGGAAAGGCCCUGCUUUUGUGGGGUGCUCGAGUGGCGAACGGGUGAGUAACACGUGAGUAACCUGCCCUUGACUUUGGGAUAACUUCAGGAAACUGGGGCUAAUACCGGAUAGGAGCUCCUGCUGCAUGGUGGGGGUUGGAAAGUUUCGGCGGUUGGGGAUGGACUCGCGGCUUAUCAGCUUGUUGGUGGGGUAGUGGCUUACCAAGGCUUUGACGGGUAGCCGGCCUGAGAGGGUGACCGGCCACAUUGGGACUGAGAUACGGCCCAGACUCCUACGGGAGGCAGCAGUGGGGAAUAUUGCACAAUGGGCGGAAGCCUGAUGCAGCAACGCCGCGUGCGGGAUGACGGCCUUCGGGUUGUAAACCGCUUUCGCCUGUGACGAAGCAUGAGUGACGGUAAUGGGUAAAGAAGCACCGGCUAACUACGUG
rnacentral:rRNA from 1 species